rnacentral:rRNA from 1 species
UGCCAGACUCCUACGGGAGGCAGCAGUGGGGAAUAUUGCACAAUGGGGGAAACCCUGAUGCAGCGACGCCGCGUGAGUGAGGAAGUAUUUCGGUAUGUAAAGCUCUAUCAGCAGGGAAGAAAAUGACGGUACCUGACUAAGAAGCCCCGGCUAACUACGUGCCAGCAGCCGCGGUAAUACGUAGGGGGCAAGCGUUAUCCGGAUUUACUGGGUGUAAAGGGAGCGUAGGCGGCUGUGUAAGCCAGAAGUGAAAGCCCGGGGCUCAACUCCGGGACUGCUUUGGAAACUGUUAAGCUGGAGUACUGGAGAGGCAAGCGGAAUUCCUAGUGUAGCGGUGAAAUGCGUAGAUAUUAGGAGGAACACCAGUGGCGAAGGCGGCUUACUGGACGGCAACUGACGCUGAGGCUCGAAAGCGUGGGGAGCAAACAGGAUUAGAUACCCCUGUAGC